AUUGAACGCUGGCGGCAUGCUUUACACAUGCAAGUCGAACGGUAACAGGCCGCAAGGUGCUGACGAGUGGCGAACGGGUGAGUAAUGCAUCGGAACGUGCCCAGUCGUGGGGGAUAACUACUCGAAAGAGUAGCUAAUACCGCAUACGAUCUAUGGAUGAAAGCGGGGGACGGAAGGGCCCCCGCGGUUUGGGCGGCCGGAUGUCAGAUUAGGUAGUUGGUGGGGUAAAGGCUCACCAAGCCAACGAUCUGUAGCUGGUCUGAGAGGACGACCAGCCACACUGGGACUGAGACACGGCCCAGACUCCUACGGGAGGCAGCAGUGGGGAAUUUUGGACAAUGGGCGCAAGCCUGAUCCAGCAAUGCCGCGUGCAGGAAGAAGGCCUUCGGGUUGUAAACUGCUUUUGUACGGAACGAAACGGCUCUGGUUAAUACCCGGGGCUAAUGACGGUACCGUAAGAAUAAGCACCGGCUAACUACGUG
rnacentral:rRNA from 1 species